rnacentral:rRNA from 1 species
GCAGUCGACGAUUAAGACUUCCCNNNNNGGAAGUGUAUAAAGUGGCGCACGGGUGAGUAACACGUAAGUAAUCUACCCUCGAGUGGGGAAUAACAUCGGGAAACCGAUGCUAAUACCGCAUAACGCAGCGGCACCGCAAGGUGACAGUUGUUAAAGGAGCAAUCCGCUUGAGGAGGAGCUUGCGGCAGAUUAGCUAGUUGGUGAGGUAAUGGCUCACCAAGGCGACGAUCUGUAUCCGGCCUGAGAGGGCGGUCGGACACACUGACACUGAAUAACGGGUCAGACUCCUACGGGAGGCAGCAGUCGGGAAUUUUGGGCAAUGGGCGAAAGCCUGACCCAGCAACGCCGCGUGAGGGAUGAAGUAUUUCGGUAUGUAAACCUCGAAAGAAUGGGAAGAAUAAAUGACGGUACCAUUUAUAAGCUCCGGCUAACUACGUGCCAGCAGCCGCGGUAAUACGUAGGGAGCAAGCGUUGUUCGGAUUUACUGGGCGUAAAGGGCGCGUAGGCGGCGCGGUAAGUCACUUGUGAAAUCUCUGAGCUUAACUCAGAACGGCCAAGUGAUACUGCUGUGCUAGAGUGCGGAAGANGCAACCGGAAUUCUUGGUGUAGCGGUGAAAUGCGUAGAUAUCAAGAGGAACACCUGAGGCGAANGCGGGUUGCUGGGCCGACACUGACGCUGAUGCGCGAAAGCCAGGGGAGCAAACGGGAUUAGAUACCCCGGUAGUCCUGGCCCUAAACGAUGAAUACUUGGUGUCUGGAGUUUCAAUGCUCCGGGUGCCGUCGCUAACGUUUUAAGUAUUCCGCCUGGGGAGUACGCUCGCAAGAGUGAAACUCAAAGGAAUUGACGGGGACCCGCACAAGCGGNGGA